rnacentral:rRNA from 1 species
UAAAAGUCUAACCUGCCCACUGAAAAUUUAAAUGGCCGCAGUAUAUUAACUGUGCAAAGGUAGCAUAAUCAUUAGUCUUUUAAUUGAAGGCUGGAAUGAAUGGUUGGACGAAAUAUUAACUGUUUCAUUUAAAUUUCUAUUAGAAUUUUAUUUUUUAGUUAAAAAGCUAAAAUAUAUUUAAAAGACGAGAAGACCCUAUAAAUCUUUAUAUUUUAUUUAUUUUAAUUGAAAAGAUUAAUUUUAUUAUAAUAAAAAAAAAUAUUUUAUUGGGGUGAUAUUAAAAUUUAAAAAACUUUUAAUAAAAAAAAUUCAUUAAUUUAUGAAUAAAUGAUCCAUUAAUAAUGAUUAAAAAUUUAAGUUACUUUAGGGAUAACAGCGUAAUUUUUUUGGAGAGUUCAUAUCGAUAAAAAAGAUUGCGACCUCGAUGUUGGAUUAAGAUAUAAUUUUGGGUGUAGCUGUUCAAAUUUUAAGUCUGUUCGACUUUUAAAUUCUUACAUGAUCUGAGUUCAAACCGGCGUAAGCCAGGUUGGUUUCUAUCUUUAAAAAAUUGUUAUAUUUUAGUACGAAAGGACCAAAUAUAAAAAUAAUUAUAUUUUCAAUAAGAUUAUUAUUAAUUAUA